AGGGGCGUAGCUCAGCUGGUUAGAGCGUCGGUCUCCAAAACCGAAGGUCGUGGGUUCGAAUCCCACCGCCCCUGCCA
rnacentral:tRNA from 1 species